GGUCAGCGAGUCGCGGAUCAGUUUGCAGAUCAGGCAGUUGCGGGUCAGUGAGGCGUGGGACGCCAAGAGAAUCCAGCGCCCAGAGACAGAUCCAUGGGCCGCCUGUAUUGCAAAGAAGGCUAGCGCCCACUAAUGAUGACAUCACUUCCCGUUUCCAGCAACGGCA